rnacentral:lncRNA from 1 species
AUGGAGGGUCUUAUGAAGUUGUUGUGUCUUGUUGGUUUUGUAGUCCUUGUUGCAGGGAUAUAUGGAGUUGAAAGUGCAGGUGAAUGUGGAAGGGGUACAACACCAGAUAAUGAAGCUUUUAAGCUAGCUCCUUGUGCUAAUGCAGCAUCUGAUGAAGAUGCAAAUGUGUCUCAAAGCUGUUGUGCUCAGGUUAAGAAACUUGGUCAGAAUCCAGGUUGUCUUUGUGCAGUUAUGUUAUCAAACGUUGCUAAAAUGUCGGGUGCUGACCCUAAAGUUGCUGUUACUAUCCCUAAACGUUGCAAUAUUGCUGAUCGUCCUGUCGGUUACAAGUGUGGACCUUAUACACUUCCUUGA